AAUAAUUAAUUACAAUUAUAUUAGAACAGUUAAACAAAGUGCUUUUCAAUUACCUAAACAAUCAGCGGUUGUAGCAACACGAUAGCUGGUCGUAGUUACCACAACCACAGUCGUCAUUACUACAACCAUGAAGACGGUCACAACAUUCGCUAUUACGUUUAUCAUUACAAUCAUUUUCGGUUCUUGUGUCGACCAAAAUAUUAUAAAGAACAAAAGGUACGAAGUUAUUGACAAGAAUAUUAACUUAAGAAGACCCAAAAGAUCACCAAACGAUCUAUUCUCGUCUGAUAUAAGUGAUGUAAAAAGAACAGAUCAUAUAUCUAGUCCAUUAGAUAUAUACAGUGAACAUAGAGCACAAAUAUUCCAGAAGUAUACAUUCAGGAGACAAGAAUUGGAAUUCACGAUCAAACCGGUUGCAGCGUUUGAAGGUAAUGGAUGCCCAACCACGCGCGCAAAAAUCGGAGGCCAAUGUUUCGAUGAACAUUAAAAACGACGCUAUAAAAAAAGCUCCAUCGUAAUAGCAACCAUACAAGCUGGAGCUACUUUUAUGCUAGAUUUUCUGAAAAUUUGGAUUUGUGGAAAACUGAACCUUCACCACAUUGCACAGAAGGCGUCGCUCAUCGCUGCAACCACGACCACUCUGCCAAGAGUGUACGAUUAAGAAGAACCUUCACCGAACGAAGUCGCAUGCGACCGCUAGUAUAGCUUAGAAUGCACUCCAGUGAGUGUGCUUGCCGCAGAGUAGCAUUGAACUUCGCAACUAUACUCCGCGCCACAAAACAAGUCCCGUAGGUGCUAAUGUCUAAAUAAUGGCGCUCAUUGUCUUUUGGUAAUGGCGGUCUUAAAGUCAUUUGUGUAAGGGCGCUGUCAGUUUUAGUUCAGGUUUUAGUCGCGUGACUUCUUUCGUGGCGCGGAGUUUAAGAAUAAUGGCGUCCACAGAACCGCAUCGUACAUAUCGGACGCAUCGCGUCAAUCAGAUCGUAGUCAUCUUUGUAUAGAAAGUCAUACAAAUGCGUCCACUGAUACGGAUCGGACGAAUGUACCUGCCGUAAAAUAAAAAUCCGUCCGAUACGUACGAUACGGAUUUGUGGACGCUUUCCUUUAUAGUGUAGUUAAAAACAUAAUAACAUACAAUCUAUAAUUUUGCAUACAUCUUUAAUUUUAGAAGUCGAUUAAAAAGAAGCUCACGGACUAUUCGGUAGCUUUCUAAAAUAAAAUACUAAUGAAAUCAUUUUGCAUUUAAUAGUUUUUAAUGGAUUUUUUUUGUAUCACUUAAUGAAGUUGCAAUGUAAAACGUAUUAUGUCGAACAGUAAAUUUAAUAAUGCGUGUCCUUAGACUAGGUAUAUAAAUAAUAAUUAUGAUAUAGGUAGGUAAGUAUGUGCCUAAAUGAUAUAUAUAUUUUUCAUCAUACAUAUCAGUAAAAUGUGGAAUUGGAUAAGUACAAAAGUCUACUAAUAAAUUUAAAUCAAAGACUUGAAUAGGUACCUAUAUUUUAAUAGUUUGAUGUAAUUAGGUAUAUUUAA